AAUGUCUGGGAAACUGCCUGAUGGAGGGGGAUAACUUACAUGGAAACGGUAGCUAAUACCGCAUAACGUCGCAAGACCAAAGAGGGGGACCUUCGGGCCUCUUGCCAUCAGAUGUGCCCAGAUGGGAUUAGCUAGUAGGUGGGGUAAUGGCUCACCUAGGCGACGAUCCCUAGCUGGUCUGAGAGGAUGACCAGCCACACUGGAACUGAGACACGGUCCAGACUCCUACGGGAGGCAGCAGUGGGGAAUAUUGCACAAUGGGCGCAAGCCUGAUGCAGCCAUGCCGCGUGUGUGAAGAAGGCCUUCGGGUUGUAAAGCACUUUCAGCGAGGAGGAAGGUGGUGAACUUAAUACG
rnacentral:rRNA from 1 species